rnacentral:rRNA from 1 species
UACGUAGGGUGCAAGCGUUGUCCGGAAUUAUUGGGCGUAAAGAGCUCGUAGGCGGUUCGUCGCGUCGGCUGUGAAAACCCGGAGCUCAACUCCGGGCCUGCAGUCGAUACGGGCGGACUUGAGUGUUGCAGGGGAGACUGGAAUUCCUGGUGUAGCGGUGAAAUGCGCAGAUAUCAGGAGGAACACCGGUGGCGAAGGCGGGACUCUGGGCCGAUACUGACGCUGAGGAGCGAAAGCGUGGGGAGCAAACAGG